UACGUAGGCAGCAAGCGUUGUUCGGAAUUAUCUGGGCGUAAAGAGUUCGUAGGCGGUGCGGCAAGUUCGGUGUGAAAUCUCCCGGCUCAACUGGGAGGGUGCGCUAAAUACUGCCGUGCUCGAGUAUAGGAGAGGUAAGCGGAAUUCCAGGUGUAGCGGUGAAAUGCGUAGAUAUCUGGAGGAAUACCGGUGGCGAAGGCGGCAUCCUGGACCGACAUUGACGCUGAUGAGCGAAAGCUA
rnacentral:rRNA from 1 species